CCCGUCUUAGCUCAAUGGCAGAGCACACGGCUGUAGCCCGUGAGGUUGCCGGUUCGAGUCCGGCAGACGGGA
rnacentral:tRNA from 1 species